AACUGUACACUGAGAGGCCUUUCCCUUACUGCUCCUCUUAAGACGACUGGACCAUUUGAGGUGCUCUCUUCCAUAAGAAAGAGUGAAUCCAAAUGGUAUGUGAAUAUUCAAUGCCGUUGUUGUCGUAUCUGAAACCAACCAACCAAAGAUCAGCGAAUAAAAAUGACGAUGAUGCAGUGCUAUGUAGCUAAUCAGAUAUGACUAUGUGCCAACAUCACUGAAGGCAACCCAGAGUGGUGAGCCAGAGUGGUGAGCCCAGAGUGCUGUUAGAGCUCCCGGAGUAUGAACUCCAGGGAUGAACGUGCACUGAUAUCAUCAAGACACACCAAAAGUUCACAGAUCUAUUCGACUGAAUUUCUUCAGCUAAACUGGACAAGACCUACAGAGAUCAAUGGCAGCAAAGCAGCAGAAAUCCAAGUAUUCCUGUUCAACCAGUUUAUCAAAUACAGCUUAUGUAUAUUGCAAGAGUAAAUUAGUAGCCUGCAAGAUUAUAGUUCAUGACUAAUUAAACAAAAUUA